GACCCAGUGGUGAAAAUGUUAUCACACCCACCGCCUAGGAAAGUGUUACGUGUGGGUUAAGGUGGGAAUCCCUUGUUCGAAUCAAGGCUGGGUCA